AUUGAACGCUGGCGGCAGGCCUAACACAUGCAAGUCGAACGAGUGGCGGACGGGUGAGUCAUGUCUGGGAACCUGCCCGAUGGAGGGGGAUAACUACUGGAAACGGUAGCUAAUACCGCAUACCAUCGGAUGUGCCCAGAUGGGAUUAGCUAGUAGGUGGGGUAAAGGCUCACCUAGGCGACGAUCACUAGCUGGUCUGAGGGGAUGACCCGCAACACGGUAAGUGGUACACGGCCCAGACCCCUAGGGGAGGGAGCGUGGGGGAAUUUUGCACAAUGGGCGCAAGCCUGAUGCAGCCAUGCCGCGUGUAGGAAGAAGGCCUUCGGUUUGUAAAGUACUUUCAGCGAGGAGGCGUUACUCGCAGAAGAAGCACGGGCGAACUCCGUGCCAGCAGCGCGGUAAUUC
rnacentral:rRNA from 1 species